UCACCAUUUCUCAAAUACAAGGUUAGCAAGUAGCAAAUCAGGGCUAUUCAUACAACAACGUUUGGUGAAACCUUUGACAUGAUACUCGAUGAUGCCAAGGGUACAAAGUUCACCCUUAUGUGAAAAAGGAUAUGAUGAACCGGUUCCUCAAAUUCAAGAGGAGAAGUCUUGCAAUUUAAAUUUGAAUUCAAUAUUCGAAUGUACCAUCUGAUUUUACAUGAAAUGUUGAGAUUAGAGGUUAGAAGCAACUAUGACCUCCUUAUCCUUCUAUGUGUGAGUUGGCAGAUAGAUAUGAACUUGAAAGACAUGUAGGCUGAGAGAACCAGCCAAAGUAAUAGUAUUCCUUGACAAGCAAAUGACAUCAUCUCUUU